CCCUUAGAUGUUCUGGGCCGCACGCGCGCUACACUGACGAAGUCAGCGAGCAUGUCCUACGCCGACAGGUGCGGGGAAUCUUGUCAAACUUCGUCGUGAUGGGGAUUGAUUAUUGAAAUUCUUGAUCAUCAACGAGGAAUUCCUAGUAAGCGCAAGUCAGCAACUUGCGUUGAUUACGUCCCUGCCCUUUGUACACACCGCCCGUCGCUACUACCGAUUGAAUGGUUUAGUGAGAUCUUCGGAUUGGCGCCACUGCGGCUCAGCAAUGGGCUCGGUGGAUGCCGAAAAGUUGAUCAAACUUGAUCAUUUAGAGGAAGUAAAAGUCGUAACA
rnacentral:rRNA from 1 species